AUUGAACGCUGGCGGCAUGCCUUACACAUGCAAGUCGAACGGCAGCACGGGAGCAAUCCUGGUGGCGAGUGGCGAACGGGUGAGUAAAGUAUCGGAACGUGCCCAGUCGUGGGGGAUAACGUAGCGAAAGUUACGCUAAUACCGCAUACGAUCUAUGGAUGAAAGCGGGGGAUCGCAAGACCUCGCGCGAUUGGAGCGGCCGAUAUCAGAUUAGGUAGUUGGUGGGGUAAAGGCUCACCAAGCCGACGAUCUGUAGCUGGUCUGAGAGGACGACCAGCCACAAGGGGACUGAGACACGGCCCAGACUCCUACGGGAGGCAGCAGUGGGGAAUUUUGGACAAUGGGCGAAAGCCUGAUCCAGCCAUGCCGCGUGCAGGAUGAAGGCCUUCGGGUUGUAAACUGCUUUUGUACGGAACGAAAAGGUUUGGCCUAAUAAGCUGAGCUCAUGACGGUACCGUAAGAAUAAGCACCGGCUAACUACGUGCCAGCAGCCGCCGUAA
rnacentral:rRNA from 1 species